GCCUGGGUGGCUCAGGGGUUGAGUGUCUGUCUGCAGCUCAGGUCAUGAUCCCAGGUCCUGGGAUCAAAUCCCAUAUCAGGCU
rnacentral:tRNA from 1 species